rnacentral:tRNA from 1 species
GCACCCGUAGCUCAGCUGGAUAGAGCGCUGCCCUCCGAAGGCGGAGGUAACAGGUUCGAAUCCUGUCGGGUGCG